rnacentral:lncRNA from 8 species
UUAUAACACCCUAUUAUAAAGUAGGUGUACAGGCACACUAGGCCAACGGUCAUAAGACGAGGGGAGUUUUAACAGCUAUUGUAGUAAUUGGCCCAAUGACAGAAUGACACGGUUUCACAGCGAUCCGUCUGCCUGCUGUUACCAUGGUUAUUAGUGUGACCCGAGGGUGUUGAGUUGUAAUUACUGUUCCUCUUCCCUUUGGUGGCCAGUGAUGGAUGGGAAUCCUCUGGAGCCCUCCGCAAUCACCGGAAAUGAUGAGGAAUGAUGAGGAAUGAUGAGGAAUGAUGACAGCCGUAUGGAAGCAUUCCAGGCACCAGUAGGAGCCUGCCUGUCUGUACAGCACCACCAGCCACCCUCGCUCCCGCUCUUGGCCUAGUGUUCCAACUUCCAUCCGUGACAUGUGCUGACCUGUCCCCCCUCCAUUCAGCCUGUUGGGGCGGAGAGAAAACCAAGAAUAUUGCUUGUGCAAACCUCAGAACAGGAUAUGCUUACAGAUACUGUGUAGAUGUGAAAGAGGAAUCUACAAGGAUCUUAUGCGUGGAGUGGACAUCCAUGAUCCCCAAUGGGGUGACUUCAACCACAGAUGAUACGUCUAUGUGGCUUGCUGAACUUUGCCAACACAAAAACACUACACAUGCACCCAAUGUGAUUGAUGUCAGCUACUCCUGCAUCACCCUCCUGGAGUGUGUCAACGUAGACCACACUGCCAUAAGCAAUGUGACUGAGCAUUGGACCCGUAUCAUUGUCUCUGGUGCAUCAGAUGGAGACAAUCCUGAUUCAAACCGUGGUGACACUGAUUUGAUCUGGAAAAUCAUUGUUGGUAUUGUAGCUGUUGUGGUGGUCAUUGCUGCUCUGCUCUGUGUGUUUAAACCUUGGAGAGACAAACAGUGCCACCAAGGCCACAGAGAUGUGGAAGAGGGUCAGGGCAAUCCAGAACCAAACCCCUUUCCUCUGAUGCAGAAUGAGCAACGUGAUUCCAGAGACAUCAGAAAGCCUGAUGACGGUGAGACUGUUGAGGCUGUGGUUGUUCCCAGGUUAGUUAAAAUACCUCUAUUACAUCUUUAUACUCUACUCUGUCCUGGAUCAGUUUGCCUUGCUUAUCCUUACAGUCAUGGUCAUCAUGAUCUCACUUUUAGUGACCAAGGAGGUGAGCCAGGAGAGGAGAACAGGCAGCCCAUGGACAAUGAAGAGACAGGCGCUGACACCCCUCUGCUGAAUGGAGAUGCCAGCGACCAAGGAGAGGAAGGGGUUCUAGGAAUGGAGGAUGGAAAACCGUCAGACAAUGACAGAGCAGACACUGAAACCUGUCAGAAGACACAUGCUGAUUCCCCUCCACUGAAUGUACCCAAGGUUGUCAGGGUUAACAGCCAGACUGAUGACCCACAGCUUCUGGGUCAACCUCAGAGCAAUGGACGCGUGCCCUAUAGAAGGGAAUCACACCUGACUGAUGGGGCUCCAGGUCAGGGUGCUGGUGAGACUUCACCCCUCCUCUGCAGAAGCCCAGGAGAGGAAGGCGUGCUAGAAGGGCAGGACAGGAAGUCAGCAGACAGUGGGGGAACAGACCCUGAAUCCUGUCAGAAGACACAUGCUGAACCCCCUCUAGUGAAUGGACACCCUGAUGUCAGGGUUAAUGAUGAGACUAAGGAACCAACUCCUGGUGCACAGAGUCCAGGACCUCCUCAGAUGAAUGGAGGACCUCCCAUGUCUAACAGAGCUGCAGAGGAGACAAAUGCUCUAUUGGACCAACAGGCCUUGGACAAGGACCAAGUCACCAAACCUCCUGAGUUAAUAGACAAAGGACCUAAUGACAUGGAGUCAAGAGGAGAACUGUAACAAGCGGUGGACGUUUGAAUAACAAAAGAGAACCUAACGCCAUAUAAUAAGAUACAGUAAUACUGUAUAUAAUAUACAUAUUAUAAGAUACACAUUUGUGACUUGCUUCAUCAUAAUCAGUCAUGUCAACCCCAAAACACAUUCUGAAAAGUCUUUCAAUGAUUUUCUAAAAUCUAAGCAGUUUAUUAAGUUAAUUCUCUAUGCGACAGCUGUAAAUUGGAUAAGUUAGGAAAUGUGUUCUAGUGAAAUCAGUUGAAAUUACAAAACAGCCCAAAACCUUUAGAUAACUUAUCUAAAUUAUUAUUAUCUAGAUGUUUAAUUACUAUUAUCUGAAAAUGAGUGUGCGACAUGACUGAUUAUGAUACAACACGUCACAUAUUAGCUAUACAACAUUAUAUAUGAAAUUAUAUGAAAGUAUGAUAAGAUCAUACACUAGUAUUGUAUACUAAACAUACAAGCAAUUAUAUAUAUAACACACACGUGAAAAGAUGCUUAAAACAUGAACCUCUCUAGUAUUGACAUAUCCAAGAUCAUGAGGUCUCAAUGUCUUGUGGACAUGUCAAAUAGCUAAACAGUGACUAGGCGUUAUUUAGAGUAAGCCUCAUUAUCACAGGGCCCAGUCUAAGAAGCUCUAUUUUACUGAAGCAAUUAUUCAUUAUUUCUGAAUUGAGAGUUAGCAUGUCAGUUAAAAUAACUUGCAUAAUUUGUCCCAUUUAAAACACACCUGUAAUCCUACUUUCAGUAAAGAAAGUUCAUGUUCCAUUUUAGACUCUAGAUGAUAUUACAUCAGACUUUAUUUAAACCACUGUUUUCAUAGGAAAUCAUGAUUGGUCAGUUAAAACAGGUAACACUUCAUAUGGAUGUUGUCUUUAUAAUGCAAUAUAGGAGCGUUAAUAACACCUUCUAUGCAUAAUGCAUCAGGAUGCACAACAUAGGUGCUAAUAACUGCUCAUGGACAUCUAUAACUGCAUGAAGCAUUAUCACCAGGAUGUGUAAUGCCUUAUGAAGCAAAGUAUUACUAUGCCAGAUGCCAUAUUUGAAAAGCACAUUAGGAUCGUUAUAUUAUACAUUAUGUGCUCAUUAAGUGAUUGGCCAUAUUGUAAUUUCACUGCACACCCUCUUACACCUAUGUAACUCCACCCAAGUUGCAAAAUGACACAGUUGUUCUUACCCUGUAAGCAGUCUAUGGACAAGAUAAGAAAGUAAUCCAUGCUUUGGUUUUGUUUACUGUACUUGGUCACAGAAAUGCUAAUGUUUUAGCAUUUGUGGCACAUAUCCAAGUCAAUAACCCUGAUAUAAGCAUUUUUGCAUUUCAUAUCCAAAUCAUCCUAAAGCAGGGAUCCUCAACUAGAUUCAGCCGCAGGCCGUUUUUUCUUUUUUUCUUUGAGUGGAUGGUCAGGGUGCUGGAACCUAAUUACAAAUCAUUUGUAGACUGCACAUUAACUGCAAGAAGCCCAAACAUAUAUAAUAUUUCACCAAAACAUGAUCAUUUCAAACCCUGCUUAUAUUUGUUUAUGAUCACAUAUAUCUAUCAAUUAUGCGUGGGAUUUCUUUCCAAAAUGAAAAUCAUUUGGAGCCGAUUUGCUGGUGUUUUAUUUUUAUUUUUUUAAAUCUCCCCUCCAACCUGGACUCAUGGGUAGUAACAUAGUAAAAAUACAUCCGGGACUCUCCAGUUAGUAUGAUACUGUAUUAAUUAGUGGAUGUCUAUCCAUUUCGGAUGAUAUGUUACGAAUUGCAAUUUUUAUAUGUUACGAAUUUGCAAAAUGUAUGAUAUGUUACAAAUUCAAAUAUCUUGUGGUUAACGUUAGCUAAGUGGCUAGGUGGCUAACGCUAGCUAGGUGGCUAGCGUUAGAUAGGCUAGGGCUUAGGGUUACGGUUACAUUUAAGGUUAGGUUAGGUUGAAGGAUUAAGGUUAGGGGAAGGGUUUGCUAACAUGCAAAGUAGCUAAAAAGUAGUAAGUAAUUGCAAAAUUGCUAAUUAGCGAAAAUGCUAAAGUAUCUCGUGAUGAUAUUCAAACACGCAACCUUUGGGUUGUUAGACGUUCGCGUUAUAAGUCCACCCAUCCGAAACCAAAGCAUGGAUUGCUGUCUGUCUGAGCUUGUCCAUAGACUGCUUACAGCUUAAAGAAAGCAAAUAAUAUUUUGUAAUUUGGGUGAACUAUCCCUUUAACAGGAGUGCGGAACUCCUACGUGAAGUCGUUACAGUAUAGCCCUCUGACACAAUUCUAAAGAGUAUUUCGUGUAGGUCAUACCACUUUAGCUUCAUAACCCAUUGAGGCACACACUGGUUGAAAGUAACAUUGUUCCACAUAAUUUCAAUGAAAUUACGUUAAAACCAAAUGUGGAGUAGACAUUGAAUUGAACGUCUGUGCCCAGUCGGAAGGCAUUAUGCUGCCAACUUAUAAUUACAUUUAUUAGCAGCCAUUAGAGCCUAUGUCGUGCAUUAUAAUGCAUAUUGCGCAGAUAAGGUGUUAUAAAUGCACUUAUAACACAUUAUGAAGAGGUUAUUCAUAGGAAGUGUUACCUGCAGUUCUUGCGGAAGGAACUGUACCCAAGUCCCCAGCUACUAGUGACAUUGUGAAAAAUAUCACACCUUUAGACAGGAAUUGUGUAGCUAUGUUAACAUUUGUGUUCACCGUUUCAUUAAAAUGUUUAGCACAUUGAGAGUAUCUGUCAGGUCAAAUGACUUAGGCGAAUGACAUACCCACCUACUUUGAGACCUUAUAACCUUCGUGUCAGAAAAGGUUCAUUUUCUUCCUCUUUUGAUUAUGUUAAUUUGACUUACUUGUAAUGUAUUUGAUGUCAUGUAUGUUGGUUGGUCCCAUACUUUCAUGAAUGGUUUUCGCCUAUUGCUUUUAUGGUUAGUUACCUUCCACAUGUAUUUUGAAUUAUUUCCUUAUUACAUUUUUAUGACCAAUUUACACUGAGUGUACAAAACAUUAAGAACAUGACAGACUGACCAGGUGAAUUCAGGUGAAAGCUAUUAUCUCUAAUUGAUGUCACUUGUUAAAUCCACUCAAUCAGUGCAGAUGAAGGGAAGGAGACAGGUUAAAGAAGUUUUUUUAAGCCUUGAGACAUGGAUUGUGUGUGGGUGCCAUUCAGAGGGUGAAUGGGCAAGACAAAAGCUUUAAGUGCCUUUGAACGGGCUGUGGUAGUAUGUGCCAGGCUCACUGGUUUUAGUGUGUCAAGAACUGCAACGCUGCUGGACUUAUCACUGACAAACAGUUUCCCGUGUGUAUCAAGAAUGGUCCACCACCCAAAGGACAUCCAGCCAACUUGACAUAACUCUGGAAAGCAUUGGAGUCAACAUGGGCCAGCAUCCCUGUGGAAAGCUUUCGACACCUUGUAGAGUCCAUCCCUUGAUGACUUGAGGCUGUCCUGAGGGCAAAAGUGGGUGUAACUCAAUAUUAGGAAGGUGUUCCUAAUGUUUGUACACUCAGUGUAUAGCACUAUGCAUUUUGACUGUUGGAUUGAUAUGAUCUGCUCAUACAUUGCCAAUACAAGUGAGUGAGUUAAGACUAUUGUUUAAUGAACAACUCAGGUCUGAUGGAUACAAUUGUCCCUCAUACUCUCAUGUAUUAUUUUUUAACAAACGUUUUGCAUGUAUUUGUAUGAACAAACCUCCACAUUAUUGUCAUAUCUACUUUUUAUGAAGGCUAUUCUGUAGAGUUUUGUGUAUGGUCACAACUUGUUUCAUAUAAUACGUUAACAUUUUAGUAAUUUAGCAGAUGUUCUUAUGCAGAGUGAUUUACAGGAGCAAUUCAAGUUUAGUGCCUUGCUCAAAGGUACCUCGACAGACCUAGUCGGCUCGGGGAUUCAAACCAGUGACUUUUCAGACUUUUCAGAGUUGCUUUCCUUUUAACAUUAAAACAUUCCUUUCCAGCUUGUGGUCGUGUUUUCUUCAAAUGAGACACUGGUGGAGAGGGAAAGAUCAAACUGAUUUAUUUAGUCUUCUGUCACUCGUUUUCAGUUUUUCAAGUUUAUGCAGACACACACACACGUGCCACGCUAAUGCUACUGGUUUCUACAGUAGCUACUCAUGUGAUCAUGUACACAGACUGUAUGUCUGUCUUUGUGGGAUGUCUGAUGUGUUCACCAGUAACAUACAGGAGCCAAUUAUGGUAUGGUACGGUAUGUAUGGUACAGUAUGGUAUGGAUGAUGAGUUUCUGAUGUUUUCCUAUUUCCUCCCACUCUGAAAUGUACCAGGUGAUUGUAAUAAU